AACGCACAUUGCGCCCCUUGGUAUUCCAUGGGGCAUGCCUGUUCGAGCGUCAUUUGUACCCUCAAGCUCUGCUUGGUGUUGGGUGUUUGUCCACUCCCUGGUGUUUGGACUCGCCUUAAAGCAAUUGGCAGCCAGUGUUUUGGUAUUGAAGCGCAGCACAUUUUGCGAUUCUAGCCUGGAAUACUAGCGUCCAGUAAGUCAUUUUCCACUUUUGACCUCGGAUCAGGUAGGGAUACCCGCUGAACUUAA
rnacentral:misc_RNA from 1 species